CAAGGAUUUGCAACUCUGUCCUUCUGGAGGGAAGGUUUUAAAGAUUUUGAGGCCAAAAUUUAGGGUUAUAGAGUACCUCCUGUGUCAGGCACAUGCCUGGUACUCUAAUUAGUACAAAGUAAUUCAGUAAUUCAGUGCAUAUGCCCUCUGCUCUAGGGGAGUUUUCACUUGAGUCUGACCUUACACAUGGGGCCACCAUUCAAAGAGAGGUGAAAAAAGCCUAGGGUGUUUUAAGUGCAGAAGUAUUUUUUUGAGGAUUUUUGAUUGGCUGCGUAUCACUCCCCACACCUUCCCUGUCCCAGGACUCUAACUCAGGGCCUCACACAUGCUAGACAAAUUCUCUACCUCUGAGCCACACCUUGAGCUCCACCAAUCACAUUUUAUAUCCACUUUUUAAUUUUUGUUUUUAGUUGAACAUGGACACAAUACCUUUGUUUCACUUAAUUAUUUUAUGUGGUGCUGAGGAUCAAACCCAGUGCCCCAUGUGUGCAAGGCAAUUGCUGUACCACUGAGCUACAACCCCAGCCUCCUUAAUUUUUUAUUUUUAUUUUUUACCGUAACUUUUGGGUAACUUAUUUUUAAAAUCACCUAAAUAGUACUUGAGGGACAUCCCCAAAUCCUGAAGAACUCUCUGGUGUUCUGAAACAUUCUCUGAGGGGCUGGGGACAUAGCUCAGUUGGUAGAGUGCUUGCCUUACAUGCACAAGGCUCUGAGUUCAAUCUCUAGCACCAAAAAAAAGAGAAAAAAGAAAAAAAUCAACUGAAAUAAUCUCUGUAAGAUAUGGCAGGAUAACAUAGCUGAGCUAUCUCUGACUUUGUUGACUGUGGUGAAAAGAAUUUAUAUGGUACAUAUGUACUUGUUGCUGGUGACCUUGGCUUACUCUGGUGCACUGUAGUCAGGCUGGCCAGAUGGUAUUUGGUGGUCCAUUGUUUGAAAUGCUUCCAAUAUUUAAAAUGAACAGUAUUUGGAAGAAUGAAUUUCUAUAUGGCCAGUUCUCAUUUAUUGUGUUAGGAUUAUCAUAGUUAUUAAUUCAGAUCAGCAAACAUAUAUACUGAAAGCCAAUUAUUGUGCUAGGCAGAAUCCAAGGAGAAUGAGAAAUCAUCCUUGGUUUCAUUGAACUAGAACUGUUGUGGAGACCAGGUUGUUUGCUUUGUGGGUUUGGAUUUAGGGCAAGGGACAGGACAGAGUAGUGGUUCAAGACUCAGGCUCUGGAAUCAAAUAGAUCUGGGAUCAGGUCUUAGGUCUGCUGCUUCCUAAUCAGAAUCUGAGCCUUAGUUUUCUUAUCUGUAAAAGAAGAUGCCAAGAGUACCUUUCUUGUAGGUAUUAUUGAAGAUUCAAUUAAAAAAAGAUAAAAAUCCUAAGCACUAUGCUAGUAUAUGGUAAGAGCUCUGUAAGUCUAAAUUCCUAUUAAAUGUCCAAGAAAAGAGAUAAGUUCUCUUAAUGGUUGAGAGAAAGGCUUUAUUACAGAGGGGCUUUAGUAGGUAUGAACACCUGAAUAGGGUUUUGUAGGAUGAAUGGAGAUUCUGACAAAGUUGAGUUGUAAACAGUUGCAUUCAAGGCUGAAAGAACAUGAGUGUGCAGAGGCUUAAAACAGCAUACUGUAUUCAGGUAGCUAUAAGUGGAAGUUCUUAAUUUAGGAGAACUAAACUGAGGGGAAAGGAGGCCACAGAGUUACACGUCUCUGGUCCCUUCCUAAUAAUAGAGUUUAAAUGUCAUUAAAAUAAGUUGUUUUGUCCAUUUCACAAAGUAAUACAUGAUAUUAUAAAAAAUUAAAUUUAUUAUUGUACCUAUAGUUUAGUAUGUUUCUCCAGAUUUUUUUCAGCUUUAUUUAUUUGUCAGUUUAUCUUGGACAUGUUUAUUGCAAAUUCAUUUUAAGAGUCUAACAAAAGAAUAAUAAGGAAAGCAAAUCUAUUCCCAAAAGAAAAUAAUGUUUGAAUUAUCUGGCUUUCCCUCUGCUAGCCCAUCUGUAGGAAUAAAUGACUUUUGCCAGGUGCAGUGGUCCACACUUGUAAUCCAGCAACUCAGGAGACUGGGGCAGAAGGAUCACAAGUUUGAGGCAGCUUGUCACAAAAUAAAAAAGAAAAAGGUCUGGAGAUGUAGCUCAGUGGUAGUGUACCUCUGAGUUUAUUCCCCAGUACCAUAAAAAAAAAAAAGGAAUAAAUAACUUUACUAAUCACUGAACAUUUACCUCACCUUCCACUUAAAUUGCAUCAGCAGAGGAACUUAUAUUUUGAGCUUUCCUAAAAAGGUAAACUAUUGUUGUAGUGUUGAGACACUUGGGUAGUAUGUUUGAGGGUUUCCUGGUGUACAGUUACUAUAGGAGUUAAAAGAGUGGACUGUGAGACCUUGGACUUUAAUCCCAGAUCCACCACCUCUUAGACCUUGGGCUAGGUGCUUCAACUUCUUUGUGUUUGUUUCAGUAUCCACAAUCUAGAUACCAGGUCCACUGAUAGAAUAGUUGUGAGGAUUAAGUAAGAUAAUUCAUAUACCAUAAAGUACUUUGUGUAGUGCCUGGGAAAUAGCUAAUACUCAAUCCUAAUAAUUGCUAUUAUUAAAAACUGCAGUAUCUAACUACAGAGUUGGGUAAGUUAUGAUUCAUGGUAGUCAUUAAUGACCCAAAGGAAAGAAAGAGUAAUUGGGAGAUUCUAAGCUACUGGGAAAAAAACAAAAUGAAUAGGGACUGGGGAUUUACACUGUGGUAGAGGAGACCGAGGCCUUCACGUAAAAGGUAUAGACAUGGCAAACUGUAAAUUCCUGUUUUACACAAAGGCCCUUGUGAUAAGUCUCUUUGCGUUCUCCAAAAGCUUUGAUUACAUCCUAUUUAAUAUUCAACACAUUAAAAGUUGAUUACCACUUAGGAAUAGUCCCUUGGGGUUUUUCUUGACACAAAAAGUACAGAUAAUAUUGAAGGUUUGAAAGGUUAGAGGAGUGAUUAGAGUGUUUCUCAGAAAGAAGUCAAUCAGAAGAACUUUAUUUUGGGUCAGGCUGGGAAAAUGGGACAACUUUUGUUUUUUUGGUGGUGAUGAGGAUUUGAACUCAGGCCCUUUUACAUGCUGGGCGAGCACUUCGAGACCUGAGCUAUAUCCUUAGGCAGCCCAAUGUUUUGUUUUUGAGACAGAAGAACAGUUUUUGUUUUUCUCUGUGUUAACCAGGCUGGCUUCCAACUUCUGGGUUCAAUGGAUCCUCCUGCCUGUCCCUAAGUAGCUAGAGCUAUAGGCCUGAGCCACUGCACCUGGCUGUUAUAUCAUUUAGUUUGGGGGUGAGUAGGCAUCCCAGGUGGUAUGGAUGAUCUGUUUGAAUCUGGGAGCUGAUUUGAUGUGCACUACUCAGCUGAAUUAGCUGUCCCUUCACAUUUAUAUGUGUGUGUAUGUGUGUUCCAUGAGUCAGUGUGUUUGAGGGUGUAUAUAUGUAAUUGUGGUUAAUCAGAGGUGUAGAGCUUUAUUUUCCUGUCAUUGCAACUUUCCUUUGCAAAUUAAUCAGUAUUCAAAACAACCUUGCAGUUAAGAACAACCACUUGGCUUCUCCAUAAAAUAGAUUUUUCUCACCCCAGUUCUCUAAUUUUGGACUGGAGAAGACAGAAAGGAAAAGGCUACCCAGUUGCUUCUUGGCUAAAUGUGGGGCAGGAGGAAGCCAGCAGGGUUUGAAAGAGAAAGUAAAACUUCUGGUAAAUAAUGGCUUCCCUAUUGUGGAGGAGGAGUGUAAAUUAUUAGGGGGAUGUUUGGGUAGUUUUUGUAGACGCCAUUUCUGAAAACUGAUUUGGAUUAGCGAAGGUGAGCCUAAUUUAGGAAAACCCUGCCUGCCUGUGUCAAACAUCUGUUUUCCCGUUUUGUUGAUUGAUUGCAUUAGUUUGUGGUAUCUUGACCUCUUGGUAUGAGCGAAUUUGAGACUAAACUUGAGCACUUGCUUGGGUGAAAGUUUCCUAAAAUUUAUGUCUUUCUCAUCUUUUCUACUGUUAAUUUUGUUUAUUCAACAAGCACUGUUUUUCUGGAAGAAUCUAAAAGCAUUAGACUUUUCUUUCAUUAUCCCUGCCGCCCCAAAUGUAAUCCUCAAAACCUCAAAACCCGGACGCUAGCUGUGUAAUUACCUCUCCUGUAAACCAAAGUGCAAUAUUGCAUCGAGUUAGCAUUAAAAUAGUCAGCCUUUGAAAAUUUUUUCUACUUGUGGUUCAGGCACAAUAAAUAUUUAAUCUCAGACUGACUUUCUCUGACAAAUCAGUUUUGCAUUGUAUGUGGGCUUUUUUUUUUUUAAUCAAUAUAUUUAGGGAAAGCAAAUUUACUGGAACAUUAAUCAAAAUUAAACAUAAUUAGGAUGGUAACUCUUUUAUGAUGCAUAUGGGCAGGUGGGAUAAUUGAAGUGUUCUAGAGCCAAUAUCAAUACCUAUUCUUGGUUCUGUGUGUUAUUGUCUAUUUCCAUUAGAGUGAAAUAUACAAUGUGAAUUCAUGUAUCAGGCCAGGUUCUGUAUAGGCGUACACUGUAAGAGAAUAGAAACCUGUGGAAGCUUUAGCAUCCUAAUUACUAUAUUGGAGAUUCUUAGGUUUCUAGAGCCAGCUAAGAUUCUUGUUUCUAGUACCAUUGUGGUACAGAAUGUCCAUAGUUGGGGAGACUGUAUGUGUGACUGGGACAGGGGUUAUAUGGGAAUUCUUUGUUUUAUGCUCAGUUUUGCUCUGAACCUAAAAGUGUUCUAAAAAAUUAAGUUUAUUCAUUAAAGAAAUAUUUCUGUGUCUGCAGAAAUAGCUGAGAUGCCCUGGGUUAGAAGUACCCAAUAUGGAGCUGGAGUUAUAGCUCAGUGGUAGAGCACAUGCUUAGCAGCACAAGGUUCCAUACCCAGCACCCAAAACAAACAAACAAAAAACCAAAGCCAAAAAAAAAAAAACCCUCAAAAAAACCCAAAUACAAAACAAUUUUCAUAAUAUAGAUAUUUGCAUUUUUAACUUAAUUGACAUUUGCACAUAUACCAGUAGACAUUAUAUUCAAUUCACUCAGGAAAAAAAUACUGGUUUUGUUUAAGGAUAUCCUUGAUGAAACAAUAUGCAGUAUUAAAUUCAUGGUCUGUCGACCCUUGAGGACAUGUCUUUGAUAUUCUGUAAUGAACUGGGAGGCACAACAUAAAACACUGCUGUAUACUGAAGUAUGAUGGCUGUCUCAAGGAAAAGCACUUUUUUUCAGGGAGUGGUACUGGGAAUUGAACUCAGGGGCACUCAACCACUGAGUCACAUCCCCAACCCUAUAUUGUAUUUUAUUUAGAGACAGGGUCUCACUGAGUUGCUUAGCACCUUGCUUUUUGCUGAGGCUGGCUUUGAACUUGCGAUCCUCCUAUCUUAGCCUCCAGAGUCGCUGGGAUUACAGGCAUGCACCACUGUGCCCGGCAAGGAAAAGCACUUCUGAUUUGAGUUGUGAUUUCAAUAGUUUGCUUUUUUCAUGAAAUACUAUUUUAACUUGAAAGAAUAACUGAGAGGCCAGCUGGGAUACUGGCAGAUAUUUUCUUAAAAAUGAAAGAAAGGAAGCUGUCUAUUUAAGGAAAACAAUUGCCAAUAUCUGUUACCAAUGAUAAAAAUUGGGUUUUAGAGUAAAAAUCAAAAUUUGAGAAAACUUAUAUUCACUACUGUGAGUUUGACAGCUUCCCAAAACUAAUGAAAAUCAUUUUUUUUCCUAAUUGAAAAUUUUUUUUUAAUUGGUGGUACCUGGGGGGGUGGGAGAAAGCAUUCUACCAUUAAGUUGUUACUUUCCCAAUCCUUUUUAUUUUUUAUGUUGAGACAGGGCCUUACUGGGAGCCAUUAGCCAAGUAGGUAUGACAAUUUCCUUGCCAGCGUACCCCAUGUUGCUGACAUGUUGCAGUGACAUUGAAUGUAAGUGACCUUGCUCAAGGACCAAGGCAGAUUAGGGUGUUCCCGGUUUUAAGAUAAUCGUGUUUAGGGCGUUCCCAGUUUAGGUUCCAGGUUUAAGGUUUAAGAUUAUUCCUGCUGGGAAUAGGGCGUAUCCUGCUGCCUGAGUUCCCCUUGAGUUCUCAGUAUAUUCAGACAGUAUAUUUGGGAGAUAGAAGCCCAGUGGAAGUGGAUUUGGGCAGAGAACGUGGAUUUCCCCAGAACGUGAUUGUAGACGGCUGGUGUGAGUUCGGGAAUAAAGAGUUGCUGUUUGAAUCUACAAGCUGUGUGGUGGCUCGUGAUUGUGUGCCCAGCCAGACUGCGGCAUUUGUGCCCAGCCAGAC
rnacentral:lncRNA from 1 species